rnacentral:rRNA from 1 species
UGCGCAGGCGGCGUCACGCGUGGAUAGUUGAAAUCUCCUGGCUUACCUGGGAGGGUGGUAUCCAGACGGUGGCGCUUGAGGGUCGGAGAGGGGCGUGGAAUUCCGGGUGGAGCGGUGAAAUGCGUAGAGAUCCGGAGGAACACCGACGGCGUAGGCAGCGCCCUGGACGACACCUGACGCUGAGGCACGAAAGCUGGGGGAGCGAACA